rnacentral:lncRNA from 1 species
CUGCAAUAGACAAAAUAACUACAAUAUAAACCCGCCUAAGUAACCGAUCAACCAAUCAAACCGAGACCGAGGAGGGACACAUUUAGGUGCUAGGCCAACCUGCUAGAUAUAGCAACCAAAUCUUCCCUACACACAGAAACAAACACACGUCUGAGAUUGCGAAAAGACACUUUGGGUACUUCAAAACAACAACAUUAUAUUGCAAACACCGAUCGCAUGGACGUUGCGGGGAAGCAUUUCGCCGGAGCUGAUUUAAGGAUAGACAGAAAAGCGAGAACGAGAAGCAAAAGCUAAUCAAGAACUAUACUAACUGCACCAAAUAAAAAUAUAAAUAUAAAUAUCGAUCAAAUAUACCAACCGAAAGAAAACACAAACAAAACAAGGCGGAACGAAACGGGAGGAAAAUGAAAAGUUUACCGAAACGAAAUUGAUGAAUGGAAACAUUAAGCAGUAGCAACAAGCAACCACGAAACUGACGGCACAUGGUGUUAUAUUUUCCUUGUAUUACAGUCGGCAACAGCAACAGCAGAUACUAACUAGUUUGCACAAUGGAUAUAAGUACGGUGCACUUGACACGCAGCACUACUGUCACGACAUUCCAUUAUGGGAAGACGAAAUCUUCGAAAUGGUAUUGAAGCCAUUCUAAUAUCGACUCUACUGCCUCCCCACCGCCAUCCUCACCAGCAUCAGCACCAGCAUCACCAUCACCAUCAGCAAAAAGAGUAAGCGCAACAGCAGAACAUUUACAACAUGAAAAGUAAUAACAGCUGAACGUAAUGGCGUCGUUGUAUUUUCUUUCAUUUCUCCUUUCAAAGAACAAAGAAUGAAAUGUCAAUUUGAUUACGAGCAACGAUGGUUAUUGGCACGAUCGAACCUGCGUCUGUCACUAUACGAGAUGGCACAUAUUCGUUUUUGUUGGUUCGGUUCUUUUCACAAUUAUAAUUUACCCUUAGCAUUAACAAAUCGGUUGAUUCUACGAAGUGGGGGUUUCUUUCCCUAAGAAACGUAACCACCAAAGAAAACGCCUGACUUGAUUUGGUUUAUCUUCUGCUACCUUGCCUAUGUUCCUCAC